UCUUAUGCAAGAGCAAAGAAAGUGGUUUCUUGAGAUGGAAUCUACUCCUGGUGAAGAUGCUAUGAA
rnacentral:pre_miRNA from 1 species